rfam:Gossypium hirsutum cultivar TM-1 chromosome 26, whole genome shotgun sequence
UAUUAAAAAUUUCAUCCAUUUGUACUAUUAAAACCAUCGUAAUUGACGGAAUAACCAAAUACGAUGCCAUAUGUAUCUUAUGCUGAUAUACAAGUACUAAUUUCAAAUAAUAGAAAUAGAUGAAAAUUUUAAUA